UCCAGUGGGAGAGCCAUCCAUAGUACCAUUAGCCACAGGAGAAGGAGUGUUUCCUAACUGUUCACAGUAAUCAUCAUGGAAAUCUUUGAGUCUCUUGAAGUUGGCUUGCUCCAAGAAGUUAGGAAUUUGAUUGUCUCCAUGAUAGAGGGGUUUCUUUCUUUUAGUAUCAUCAGAGUUGGAUAUGUUCUGGGAGUUUUCAUUAAGACUUUUAAAAUCAUGAGCUUUCUUCUUAGCUUUCCAAGCUGCUUUCUUCUUUUUAGAUGCUUCAGCAUUCAUAAUAGCUUUGAUCUGUUCCAGAGUGGGAAGCACAUUAAAGAGGAACUUCUGUGGAGCAGAAGAGACUGGGAAGAUCUGUUCAGCAGCAGCAAUGUUUGCAGCAGCAGCCUCAGGGUCCUCUCUUGCCUCAGUACUCUUGCUUAGUGGUUUCUGGCAGCAGUUUUCAUUUUUGGAAGUUUUUUCUUGUAGCUAUCUUCAAGCUUUUUUGGCAUAAUUAAUUUUUUGUUUUUAAACUGGCAAGCUGGGACAUCGGGGUGGGGAAAGAAGAGUUAUCUGAGGAUGGAGACUAGCUCCAAAAGUGAUAUUGUUGUUGGAAGUUGAGGCAAUGUUUGCUAUAGCCUUUUCAAGUUCUAAUUUCUUAGGUGCCUUCAUUUUUUUUGCCUCAAAUUCAUUUUUGCCCCAAGUUCUAAUGUUUGCUAUAGCCUUUUCAAGUUCUAAUUUCUUAUCCACCUGAUUUAUCAAAUUAGCUUAUUUGGUGCAUCCCACUGAGCUGCUCUCCUUGAAGUACACCCCCAAUCUAUGUUUUCGUUGAUGGCUCGAACUUUACGAAAAACUUGUAAACCCUGAUCAUGCCCAACAACUCUUUGGAAACCCUAAUUCUGAAACCUCUAAUUAUCAGCAAAAAUUAAAUAAUUCUGAAUCUCUAAGAAGAAACCAAUUUGUUAGUCUCAUUCUCUCACGAUUUCAUCCUCAAUUAAACAACGGUAAAACCAUUAAAAUUCAUCCAAUGCUUGGAAUCUGUUUGAUGAAUGUGCGAAAAAGGGUGUGCAAUUACAUUAUAGGUGAUACUGGUAAUAAUUGGUGGGGUAUUGCAAGGAGGGUAAAUUGAGUGAAGGAAUGGAUUUAUUUGAAGAUUGUGCUUCUGAUGUUGUGACAUACUGCACACAUUUGACAGGCUAUGUGAUGGUUGCAUUGGAAAGCAGAAGAGGUGAAAUAGAUCUACAGCUGAAAGAAAAAGUUGGAAUGGAUGUAUGGCGAAUAUAAAAGAAGAUGCUCCAGGACCUUCAUGUUUAACAGUACAUUUUGUACCAUAGGCUUUGUUUCCUUCAGUCAGAGAAUGAAAGAACAGUUGUACAACUGGAAGAACGUGUUACAUGGAGGAUGGUGGGAGCGCCAGUUCUUGGGUGAACAUGGGUAGGAUCCGAAGGUUAAGCUUCGUUAGCAUGUUCAUACUAUUUUAUUGUUGUUUGAACCUGCAUUGGUUUUUCAAAGGUUGAAUCAUUGUCUCA